UUGAGAGUUUUGUUGGGUUUGACUCACUUGAGCUAUGAACAAGAUUGAAUGUUGUUGGUGAAAAAUCAAAUUGGAGGUCAAACUUGUGAAAUUGAAGCUUUGGAUCAAUUUUGGAAGCUAGGAUUCAUUGGUGAGGGGCGGUGGUUGAUAGCUUGUGUUGCAGGGAACGCUUCAGGUGUUCCGAGUUUAUC